UACGGGGGGAGCAAGCGUUGUUCGGAUUUACUGGGCGUAAAGGGCGCGUAGGCGGCCUGCUAAGUCGAACGUGAAAUCCCUGGGCUCAACCCAGGAACUGCGUCCGAUACUGGUUGGCUUGAAUCCGGGAGAGGGACGUGGAAUUCCAGGUGUAGCGGUGAAAUGCGCAGAUAUCAGGAGGAACACCGGUGGCGAAGGCGGUUCUCUGGGAAUAUCCUGACGCUGAGGAGCGAAAGUGUGGGGAGCGAACAGG
rnacentral:rRNA from 1 species